AGGGCUAUAGCUCAGUUCGGUAGAGCAACUCGUUUACACUGAUCUGUUUUACCGAGAAGGUCUACGGUUCGAAUCC
rnacentral:tRNA from 3 species